UACGGGGGGGGCAAGCGUUGUUCGGAAUUACUGGGCGUAAAGGGCUCGUAGGCGGCCAACUAAGUCAGACGUGAAAUCCCUCGGCUUAACCGGGGAACUGCGUCUGAUACUGGAUGGCUUGAGAUUGGGAGAGGGAUGCGGAAUUCCAGGUGUAGCGGUGAAAUGCGUAGAUAUCUGGAGGAACACCGGUGGCGAAGGCGGCAUCCUGGACCAUUACUGGCACUGAGAAGCGAAAGCCAGGGGAGCAAACGGG
rnacentral:rRNA from 1 species